GGAUCCCAUCAGAACUCCGCAGUUAAGCGUGCUUGGGCGAGAGUAGUACUAGGAUGGGUGACCUCGAAGAAUGUCCUCGUGUUGCAUCCCUCUUUUUUUCGGUUUUUCUCUUUUUUUGUUUUGUUAAAAAUGUAUGACUUUAUAACUUUUAGACCGUGAGGCCAAACUUGGCAUGCCAUACCUUUUCGGAAAGCCCAAAGAGAGCUCUCCAAUUAAUGAGGAAGGAAAAUGGAAUUCUUCUAUUGUUUUUUUUUUCUACUCCAAAUUUUGACCUUAAUGUACUUUUUCGUGCCUUUUCGUGAUCUUUGCUAUAGUACGGGGUGAAAAUUAUAUGUUCGGACAUUGUUUUCGAAUAUUUUGCAUGUAUCAAAGCUCUAAUAAACAAGAUAGGGUAUUCCUACAUAGCUAGUGGGACCCACGACAAAUGGAUCAUAAAGUCUUAAAAAAGAAUAGAUACGAUUGCAUUGCAUGUAUUAACGGAUGCGAUUAUACCAGCAUUAAUGCACUGGAUCCCAUCAGAAAUCUGUAGUUAAGCGUGCUUGGGCGAGAGUUGUACUAGGAUGGGUGACCUCCAGGAAAGUCCUCGUGUUGCAUUCCCCUUUUUUUUCUCGGUUUUUCUCUUUUUUGUUUUGUUAAAAGUAUAUGACUCUAUAACUUUUAGACCGUGAGGCCAAACUUGGCAUGUGAUACCUUUUCGGAAAGCCCAAAGAGAGCUCUCCAACUAAUGAGGAAGGAAAAUAGAAUUCUUCUAUUGGUUUUUUUUUCUACUCCAAAUUUUGACCUUAAUGUACUUUUUCGGGCCUUUUAAUGAUCUUUGCUAUAGUACGGGGCGAAAAUUAUAUGUUCGGACAUUGUUUUCGAAUAUUUUGUAUCUAUCAAAGCUCUUAUAAACAAGAUAGGGUAUUCCUACAUAGCUGGUCGAACCCACGGCAAAUGGAUCAUAAAGUCUUAAAAAAAGAAUAGAUACGAUUGCAUUGCAUGUAGUAACAGAUGCGAUCAUACCAGCACUAAUGAACCGGAUCCCAUCAGAACUCUACAGUUAAGCGUGCUUGGGCGAGAGUUGUACUAGGAUGAGUGAGCUCCAGGAAAGUCCUCGUGUUGCAUCCCUCUUUUUUUCGGUUUUUCUCUUUUUUUAUGUUAAAAAUAAAUGACUCUAUAACUUUUGGACCGUGAGGCCAAACUUGGCAUGUGAUACCUUUUUGGAAAGCCCAAAGAGAGCUCUCCAAUUAAUGAGGAAGGAAAAUGAAAUUCUUCUAUUGUUUUUUUUUCUACGCCAAAUUUUGACCUUAAUGUAAUUUUUUGGGCCUUUCCGUGUUUUUUGCUUUAUUACGGGGCACAAAUUAUAUGUUCGGCCAUUGUUUUCGAAUAUUUUACAUGUAUCAAAGCUCUUAUAAACAAGAUAGGGUAUUCCUACAUAUCUGGUGGGACCCACAGCAAAUGGAUCAUAAAGUCUUCAAAAAAGAAUAGAUACGAUUGCAUUCCAUGUAGUAACAGAUGCGAUCAUACCAGCACUAAUGCACCGGAUCCCAUCAAAACUCCACAGUUAAGCGUGCUUGGGCGAGAGUAGUACGAGGAUGGGUGACCUCACGGAAAGUCCUCGUGUUGCAUCCCUUCUUUUUCGGUUUUCCUCUAUUUUG
rnacentral:sRNA from 1 species